CUCUUGCUUAUGUGACCAGAUCUCUGUUUUCUUCCAGGAAAGCUACACUAUGUGGGAGUUCAAGCAAGGAUUUUCAAUGGACUGGAUGUUCAAUAUAAUGUCAGGUUUAAUAAAGUAGCUGAACUUAACCAGGAAGAUUGCUUUAUUGAGAAAUCUCAUCCUAAAGGAAAUUAUUUAACCAAUUACUCAAGGAAUCAUAAAGUGCUGAAUUUAUAGGGACAUAAAGCAUCUGGAUCAGGAGAUUAUGACCUCAGGUCUGUGGAGUCUUCCUAGAGAUUGUAGGUAGACCUCAGUGGUCUCAUUAAUAAUAAAUACACACAGAUUUAUUCAUGUUCAUGUGUAAAUAUUUGUUUCAUUAGUUUUUCUCUAGAGAAGAAAGUAGAAAACAUCUAUCCAUGUUUUAAAGGUUUAGGUGCCACUGAUUUUGAUCAAUGUUUGUUUAUCUGUGAGCAUACUGGUGUCCAGGGAGGUCAGGUGAUGUUACAGAAUCAUAAAGCUGGAGAGAAGCAGAACUGCCAGUCAUCGUCUCUUCUGAUUCCCAGACCAAGGCUCACACACUUCUUCUAAGUGACCUACAAUGGUAGGAUUUCUUCUGUGGCUGCAUCUGAGCUGCAGCCUAUAACUAGGAUUGUCAGAAAACAGAAACUUAAAAUAUUUUGCUCAAGAAUAGGAGGUUGAUAUAUUGAGUGCAUUUAUAUCUAAGAUUUGGAAUAGUGGAGUUUCUUAGUUUGAAUUUCCCCAGAAAAGAACCUGAGAUAGGCACUUGGACUUAAAUAAUUUAAUUUGUUGGUGAUGCCAGGAAUCUAUGAGGGAGUAAGGGAAUAAGACAGAGAAGGGAUAAAAGUCAGUGACUGGUAUAGGAAUUACAAGGGUAACACUAUGGAAAUAGGGCACCAUCUUGGGACCUCAUGGCUCAUAGAUACGCCUCCAUAAGGGCAAGAAAGAAGUGCCACUUAUCUUUUACCUGCCAUCUGUCACUAACUGAGGAAUUUUCUUGGCCAUAAAGAAAUGAUAUGGGAAUCAUAUAUGGGCACUGUCUCCCAGAAACACCCAGGGACAGGAAGGUUUUCACAACACCUGUUAAGAGAUGUUUUAAGAGGUAAAGGAAGGAAGACAUAUCUGUGGAUUUGAGUACCAGUAGAUCAUAACAUGUGGGGGAAAGGGGAAUUUUAUAAGUCAUCUAUUACUACAACCUCUUAUAUAACGGAUGUAAAUGACGUAAAAUUAAGAUUCUCUAUUUAAUACAAGUUAAAAUAACAAUCUAUUCUAUUAUCUUCAAUAUUAAAACAUAGUUUUUUUGUUUGUUUGCUUGUUUGUGGUGUUGCUUUUUUUUUUUCAAGGUCAUCUCCAUCCUUUGUUGCUUUAAUUUAUGUGGAGAAAAAAUUUACAGGGGUCUUCCACUGGUGGCCAACUUCUAUUUUGAAGCUACACAAAAUACAAUCAAAAUAUCUUCUCAAUGACUCCCUAUAAGAGCCAGAUUACAAUGUAGUCCGCCAUGAUUCCCACCUUCUAGAAUCUAAGAUGUUGUAUAAACUCCUCCCACACUGAAUAAAGCUUAUUCAUGUACCCAACAGAACACUAUAGAAAUGACAGAAUGCAACUUCAAAUACUAAGUCACAGAAGUUACUAUAGUUUCAGAUUAUUCACAGAGGAAAGCCACAGCCAUGUCGUGAGGAUAACCAAGAAGUCCUGUAGAGAGGUCUACAUAGGGAAGAACUGAAAUCUGCCAAGAGUCAUCCAAGUCAGCUGUUUUGGAAAUGGAUCCUCAUUGUUCGCCAAGCUUUCAGAUGACUACAAGUGCAGCCAACAUUUUGACUGCAAGUUCGUGAGAGACCCCGAGCCAGAAACCCCCAGCUAUGCUGCUCCUAGAUUCCUGACAAAGAAAAUGUGUCAGAUCCUGAUCAUCAAGUUUGUAUAUUCUUAAGACAGAAGCCAGGUUUUCAUUUCUUCGCCAGAAACAUGAGAAGACUCAGUAAAAUUACCUACGUGGGGCUAUACGGUGACAGCAAACCAGGUGGUUUUCUACUAGCAAACCAGGUGGUAGGACCUAAAGCUGCAUUGGGAGUUUUAAUUUUCCCCACCAAAGCUCCAGCCACAUGAAUGAAAUUAUCUUGGAGCCUCCAGAAUAGACCAGCUGCCAACUAAAUACCAGAAGAAUCACCCAGCAAAGCCCUAUUCAAAUUCUCAGCCCACAAAGUCAUCAAUUCUAAUAAAAUGUUAAGUUUUCAAGUUGUUAACCUUAGGGUUAGUUUGUUUCAUUUUAACAGAAUAAUUAGUACACCAUUUUAUUUAAAAUAACCAGUACAAUGUUUGACAUACAGCAGACACUCAAUAGUUUUCUGUUGACAACUGGAUAAUGACUACUGGACAACCUGGAGAAAUUUAAAGGCAACUAACACGGACUAAAUUCCUAUCUGUGCCAGUCACUCAACUCUUCACAAUGACUCUAUGAAGGAUGUUAUACUAUAAUCUCAAUUUUCAAUGGUUGAAACUUAAGCACAAAACAUUAAAUAACUUCUCAGAGGAGGUCACAGAUCUAAGAAUUGGGAAACUAGGAUUAGAUCCCAGUGGAUUUCCAUGCCAUGCUGUCUUUAGAUAGUAAAUUUUCACACAGAUGGAAACAGAGUGAAAUUCCAACAAGGAGCCCUUGGAGUUGGAUUGGGAAUGUGUACAGGUAUAUGAUACCAUGGUCAUACAAGUGUGUCAAACACAUCAUAGGUACACACAUAUUGAGUCCAGUUUCAGACAAUAUUGUACUUUUUUAUUUUCAAGAAUCGUUUGACCUUGGUCCUUAAGUCAGACCAGGUAGUCAUUUGAGGUGAGGACUUUGAGUUAGAUCUAUAUUCAGACAAUUCAGAUAAAUGUUCCAUCACAUAUCUUGUUUAAUUUUGAAUGUCAUUUAACCAGAUUCUCAGUUUGAACAACCAAAAAGAGUGAAUAAUGGUAAUGAUAGUAUCUACCCAACUAAGUCAUAGUUCAAUGACAUAUAGGUAAAGUAAGUGUUAUGACUGACAUGCAGGAACUGCUUAAUAAAUGGUCACUGAAACCUGAAAACCACGGAGUCUGCACUUCUCUCUCAAGAGCUUUUUCUCCCUCCAGAGAUAUGUUUGAUUAUUUCUAUAACCUGGUCCAAAAGGCUUCUGUCAUCGGUCCUUAAGUCCCUUCAAACCUUAAUUCACAUGACUCUUGUUGGCUCACACCCUUGCCAUACUUCUGUUCCUUCUAUGUUCCACAUUCUACACCCUGUGGGGCUGCUCUACAAAGAAUAAUAUUUUACUCCAUGAAAGCCCAUUGAGACUAACUUGAUGAUUCUGCUAAAGGCUGAUUCUUGGAGCACAUUGGUGUUCAUUCCAUGAGUGUUUUCAGAGCUUCAAAAUUUGAGAGAAAAAUAGGAGAUACAUCACCUUUCCUGGGCUUUUCAUUGUAUAAAGGAGGAAACUGAAAAUGAGAAAUGAGAGGAUUUGUACCAAUGGUUACAAAGUGAUAGAGCAGUAGAAGAAGAAUGGUAAUGCAAUUGACACUUCUCUCCUUGGAGGAUUUAAAAGAGACCCAGCACUUCCCCAGGCAUGCACACUACUCCUCACUGUGAUAUAAACAUCACAGGAAAGUGCUGGAGUCUAAGAUUUAGGCUGCCACUGCUCAGACACUGCCUGGAGAUUCCUUGAAAUAACCUUUUCAUUGUUGGAUCCAUUGAAAAGGGGUCCCAUUUACACAGGGAGAAAAAUAAAUGGUCCAUGUAUUCAUAGGCAGACAGAUGUUCAAGCUCACUACUAAACAAGGAAAUGCAACUAAAUGCUACAGAGUGUGUUUUUCACAUAUAAAAUUAGCAAAUAUUAAAAAGAUAGAUCAUAACCAGGUUAUAAUUUUUAGGCUAGAGAAAUUAUGCUCUCAUAUACUAUCCAAAGAAUGUCAACUAGGAAAACCUUUGACAAACUUGUCAUCUAAAAUGUAUAAUCCUUUGGCCUAGCAAUCCCACUUAGAGAGCUCUGUUCUACUAAAAUACUCUUAUAGGAUUCUGAUAUGUUUAUAAGGCUAUUUCUUUCAUAUUUCUAUACUCAAGAAAAAAUCAAAAGCAAUUUCCAAGUCCAUCAAUAGGGAACUACUUAAAUUAGGGUACAUUUACUUCAGGAAUUGUAUGCAACUAGCUUUAACAAGAAGAUUUCUAUGUAUCAAGGUGUGAAGAAUCACAUACAUGAAAGAUGAAAUAGUUGAGAGAGGACCAAAGUAGGUGUUUCAUGUUUUAUUGUAUGUAUUGGUAUCAUUUUAAACUCUUGCAAAAAUAGAAACAUCUUCUGUAAAUAAAGGCAUAAAAUGAAGAGAAUUGAAGCUGAUCCCAAUACUCUUUCCAAAUUUAAUUUAGUCAGAUAUUUUGCCUAUGCAGAAAGUUGCAACUUCUGGAAGCCCAAGGAAAAGUCUUGAUGAGAAAUCUAGUGCUUGUAAAAUACUGCCAUUUAUAGGGGGGAAACCUGCUCAUUUCAGCAGUAAGGGCAACAGGAGAAUGGCUGAUUGGCAAAUCAGAGCUAGCUUAUGGUGUGCUAGUUGGCAGAAAUGCAGGCCACACGAGGCAAACAUCAUCUUGUUGGAUCUUUCGUACAUAGAAAUGGCUGCAUCGCCUGUAAAUACUGCUUAAAUGCAGCCAGAUUUUUCAACAUCUCUGAAUAAUGGCUUUGCCUCCCAUACAGUCACUUGCCUGGUUCUCUCAGAGUCAGACUGGGACUGCAGGCCACUUGCAGGCAAUUGCUAUGGCUGCUAUAACAAACUAUCACAAACUUAGUGGCUUGAAAAACAAUAGAGAUUUCUGAUGUCUGGUUUGGGAGGUCAGAAGUCUGAAAUGAAGUCUUUAAGGGCUCAAAUCAAGAUGUUGGAAAAGCUGAAUUCCUUUUACAAACUCUAGGGGAGAAUUCAUUCUUUGGCUUUUCAAGCCUGUGGAGGCCACCCAGACUUUGCACUCUGUUGGCGCUGUCACAUCGCCUUCUCUCACUCUGACCCUUUGCCUUUUCACAAAUCCAGAAUAAUCUCUCCAUCGCAAGACCCUUAAUUUAAUGACACUUGCAAUCUCUUCUGCCAUCGAAAGUUACAUAUCUUUAGCUUCCAGCUAUCAGGAUGUUGACAUGAUUCUGCCCUUCCCCUUAUCUUUGAAAAUUCCUCAGUGGUUAGCGGUAUGGCCCAGAGAAGAGCACCUCAGUUUGCUCUCUUAGCAAAUCUGAACUAAUACUACAUACCCUACACCACCCCAUGAGGGAAGGCUGUGAUGAUCUGUGGAAGUCAGACCUGGCGAUUUUCACAUCACAUCAGCAGAAGGAUAUCUGACAAAUCUCUGUUGAUGGCAUAAACUAUGUUACCAAUGAUGACAGCAAUUUUAGUAUCUCCCACACAAUCAUCAUGGUAGGUACUCAUUACCUUGAUUUUGUCCUAUUACAAUAUAUGGGGCAUAGUUACAUAUGGGCAUAUUUCAAAAGAAGCAGAAUCAUAAGAUAUACAGUAAUAUGAAAUACCUCCCCAUAAAGUCACCUCCACACACACAUUCAAUGAUGGUAAGUCCUGGUAUUAAAACGUGUACCUAUAUAUGUCCUUCCUAAUGCUGAUUUUAUUAUUCAAGAAACUUCCAAUUACUAGAUGAUGUAUGGAAAACAGCUCUAAUUUUACAUUGAGCAUUAUGUGUUGAGAAGUAUUCUAAAUACCUUGUAAGUAUUCAGUUAUCAACAGUUAGAAACAUAGUUUCAAAUUUCCCAGAAGAGUGUGAAUGGGAUCCAGGAAUAUCAAGGCAGAAAUACAUAGUAGCAGGGGAAAAAAAUAACUGGUAAGUUAUAAGGUAUGAGCAAAAUAUACUGUUGAAAAUAUUAAUGGAGCGGUGCUCAUGUCCUGUAUUUUGCUGCAUUCAACAUAAGCUCAUGAUUCUAUGCACUGGGCACUGUAAAUAAUAUCCCCUUAUAUGCAUAGGGGAGUUUUCAAUCUUUCAAUAUACAGAAGCACCUUUUUUAUCCCGUGUGAUAUUUGUGCCAACUCUGUGAGGCCAGCUGGGACUCUAUCUCACAGAAAGGAGAAAUGAGACUGAGUCAUUCUCAAGAUUCCGUUUCUAAGAGAUGAACUGUGACUUAAAAUUGCGUCUCCUACAACUCUAUUUCCAUACCUGUGAAAUAGAGAUUUAAAAGGCAGAUCUUUUAAAAGUAAAUAUUAAUACUUGAAAAAUAUUUAGAAUGCUUCUUAACAUAUAAUACUCAAUGAAAAAGUAGAACUGUUUUCCAUGUAUAAUUUUGGAAAUUUUAACUGGAAAUUUCUUUUUUUUUUUUUUUUUUUUUGACAGGCGGAGUUGAACAGUGAGAGAGAGACAGAGACAAAGAGAAAGGUCUUCCUUCUGUUGGUUCACCCCCCAAAUCGCCGCUACGGCUGGCACUGUGCCGACUCAAAGCCAGGAGCCAGGAGCCUCCUCCUGGUCUCCCAUGCGGGUGCAGGGCUCAAGCACUUGGGCCAUCCUCCACUGCUUCCUGGGCCACAGCAGAGAGCUGGACUGGAAGAGGAGCAACUGGGACAGAAUCAGCGCCCCAACAGGGACUAGAACCUGGAGUGCCGGUGCCACAGGUGGAGGAUUAGCCUAGUAAGCAGCGGCGCCGGCCAAACUUCUUGAUAAUAAAAUAACAUUAGGAAGGACAUAGUGGUUGUAUGAGGAAUGGGUUAGCAACCACAUACAGGCAAUAUAUACAUAUUUCAACACCACCAACCUACAUGCACCUGGAACUCUCCAUCAUAAUCAGUUCUCUCUUACGUUCCUUUUGUGGCAUAGUACUUAUUUCAGCUCCUGUUAUUGUGUGAUAAUUUAAUCAGUAUAUGUGUCCUACAUUCAACUCUGAGCUCCACAAAAACAUGCAGCUUAGUAGCUAAUGCUCAUUAUUACAUUCCUUAGCACUGCACUGCUGCCUGGGAGAUGCUCAAAUAUUUGCAUGAAUGGAUCAGAAACUGAAGCUAAUUAAUUUUGUCAUGUUCUCUAUUCCUACCGACUCCAUUUUCAUUCCCUGAUAAAACUGCAGAAUAACAUAAACAUCCAACACUGGGAAAAUAUUUCAUAACUUUUUUUUUUUUUUGACAGGCAGAGUGGACAGUGAGAGAGACAGAGAGAAAGGUCUUCCUUUGCCGUUGGUUCACCCUCCAAUGGCCGCUGUGGCCGGUGCGCUGUGGCUGGCGCUCCGCACUGAUCCAAAGGCAGGAGCCAGGUACUUAUCCUGGUCUCCCAUGGGGUGCAGGGCCCAAGCACUUGGGCCAUCCUCCACUGCACUCCCUGGCCACAGCAGAGAGCUGGCCUGGAAGAGGGGCAACCGGGACAGAAUCCGGUGCCCCGACUGGGACUAGAACCUGGUGUCCCGGCGCCGCAAGGCAGAGGAUUAGCCUACUGAGCUGCGGCGCCGGCCCAUAACUUUCUUUAACAUGUAACAUUAGUUUAGAUUAAUUACCAACCCAUAGUUGAGGCUCUAAAAUGCUUUCAGACUCAUUUGUCCCUUUUCUUGAGUGUUACUGUAGUUCUCAGAGGUGGCCAUCAUAGGUUUUUGUCCUCCUUUUUAGAAAUCAUUAAACAGAAAUUCCAAGAAAGAUGGCUUUCCCAAGGUAAUAAAGCUAGUGCAUGUUUGAAAUUAAACUGGACAAUAGAUCAUUUGCAUCCUCUGUAAUAACAAUAAAAAUGCUGAUAAUUAUCUAGUAGGCAGAAUUAGGCUGACAUAUAUGUAUAUAUAUACACACAUGCAUAAUUAAUUAAACUACCAGGAACAUUAACAUGCCUAUUAUAUAUAUAUAUAUAUAUAUAUGCGUGUGUUAGCAUAUACUCAUAUAUAUGGUCAUUUAAUGCACCUAAUAGUUCAACUCAUAAGGUGAAAUAUAGAUCAAGAAAAUGAGGCAACUGACUGGCUAAAAUUUGUACAACUAGUAACCGUUCAUUGCUGGAACAGAAAUUAAAUCUAUCUCCACAUGGAUCCAGAGCCAGAUAUUUAAACCGCCAUGCCAUACUGCCUCCCUUUUCAGCGAGAUUCUAUUCCUACUACAAGAUGUUGACUCCCCUGUGCCCUUUCUUGAUGAUUAAAAUAUUUAUUGCCUCAUUCCCUACCGUAUGAAGUCCAACUUGUUUUCACUUUUUCCUAUUUUUACUGUUUUCUGACCACAGGCAAUAAAGUUUAGCAAAGCUAGAACACCUUACGUUCCCCAGCUGACAUAAAAAAGAGAAGAUGCCUUCCAGUUACGUCAUCUUAACUACUGGAAGAUAUGUUCUUUGAAAAGGUCCAUAAUGAGUUUUCACAGGACAGAGAGAAUUAUCUAAAAUAUAACAUGCUUCGACAGUGAAACCUCCUUAUGGAUAUUUUGCCCUGAGCAGUUGUCAGUACAUAGCACUUAAUAAUCCCCACGGUAUACAUGUUCAGCGCAAGGCUCUUAGCACUUGCUUCUGGGAGUGUGUGACAUGGUUUCCAUUUUAAAAGCUUCUUCUGGCUUGAGGUUGAAAGACACGGUGGGUUAUCAUAGCAUCAAGGAAGGUUAGAGCUGCGUAAGAACUUAGAGCAGAUCCAGAAGAGGAUAAUUUCCAUGUCAGUGUUGUGUCCCUCACACUUAACACAGUGUCCAACACAUGGAAGAUAAAAGUUGUGCAAAUAGAUGAGAGCUAUUUACAGAUAAAGAAAUAAAGGUUCAGACAAGUAACUAAUUUACCUAAAAUCACCUAAAAUUCAGAUUUAAAAGUCUUAUGAGUUUAAAAAUGUUUUCUAAUUUAUUUUUUAGCCCAUUAAUUAAGUCAUUCAUUCAGGGCAUAGAUACUUGAUUAAAUAUUGAGAAAAGUACACAAAGGAUUAAGAUAUGGUUAUACUCAUUGGCUAUACUCAUUGACAGAAAUGAGAUGGAAUGGCAAGUGUCAGGGUGGAAAGUAAUCAACGAUCCAUUCUGAAGAGUCCUCACUCACACACACUUCAGGAUGCAUGUGUACGUAGGAGGAAAUUUACAAUACUUAAGAAGUGGUUACACGUAUAUUCCUAUCAAUAGGACAAUAUAGUGAAUAGCCUUUAAAAUUUAUCACAUGGUCAGUAUUAGCUGACAGAAAGAUCACUACCAACAGUUUGGAGUUGGAGAAAAUAAACCAGUCUCAGAACAUGCAUAAAUGUAUUCAUGUAUUCACAUUCAGGAAUCAGAAGUUGUAAACCUGUGGGUUAGAGCUGGCUUACAAGUAUCUCAUUUGGCCUGUGUGUCAUUUCUUAAGAAAAUUAAAAUUCACUGCCAACAUUUUAAAGUCAGAAGCUUUCCCUGCAAUGGUCUGGAUUUGAGGCCAGACUUAAGAAAGUUAAGUAUCUGACAACGCUGGGGGUUAGAAACAGUUGAAGCUUCCAUCUACAUAUAGGGAAUGUACCCUUGACCCUCACCUACUGACAGAUGCCUGGUGCUCCUAGACAUUCUGGUGAUGGACCGCCUUCCCUGGCUAAUGAAGAACCUGACAGUAUGCACAGAACUGCUUCACCUGAUGGAAACCUGAGUUGGCAAGGUGAUAAGGGGUUAGGACGCUAGAGAGCAGUUUUCACGGUUCCUUUUAUGCAUUUAGAGUUUGCUUAUCUCUCGUGGAGGACAAUGGUGCUUGUAGAAGGCAGUGAAAGGGAUGGCUGUGGCUUGAGCACUUGAGGGUGAGGCAUGUGAAGUGCAAGAGACGCCCUUAGAAAAGGUUCUGACCCGGGCUAUUCCGUAUCAUUCUGAGGCGUCACUUCACAACCUACCCACCAAGUUCACAGGCAACUGGGAGCAAACAUGAAGUGCCUAGCCAGGACCCUACAUGGUCUAUGGCUUUGUCUAACAACCCCUUGGUGACUUUGCUUCUUCCCAAAGCAAAUGCCCACAAGUCCCACUUUUUCUAGGCUACCAGAACCUCUUAAUGGCCAGAGGAGAAAUUUAGCUCAAAAUUUUAAGGAUUUAGAGAUUGUAGAGGUAGAAAAAAAAACCUGAAAAGUACCCUGCAUUAGGAGUUGAGGGGAAGGAAGAAGGGAAGGGGGAAAGGGAAGGCCAGGGGGAAGCAGGAAGAAAAUUGUGACUAUAGGCCCCAGGUUCCACAUGUGUCAAACGAGAGACGGACUGGAUGUUUCAGCAACAUUAAAACUCUGAAUUUGGGUUUUGGUUUCUGGAUUGACCCAUCUGGGAAAUUAGAUAUGCAGUUCAAAUGACUUAAUGUUGCCUGCUUUUCAUGAAGUUUUUAAGAGUUCUUCUCAUCCGAAGAAAUGGACAGAGCACUGAGGCAGUACCUUUUUUCCCAAAGAUUGUCCAGGGCUGUUAUCACAGAGAUUAUUCCAAUUGAGAUGCAUUCUCUAGGGCUGGUUGAAUUCUGCAGCCUAGCACAGUAAUAAGACCUUGCAUUUGUACAGCAAUUUUUACAUUUCUGAAGUGCUUUCCAUCUCUGUCCUGAAUUUUAUACUUCUAUCAAUACUAUAAUGUAGGCAAGACAGGAGUUUUUAAAAUGGCAUUUGAACAAUUGGGAAACUUGGACUUGAGCUGCUCUCAGGGAGGCAGCAAUGAUAUACUCAAAAAUGUGCUUCAGAGCUGGGACUGACUUUUCUUUUUAAAGAAUUUUUUUUUUUAUUUAUUUGAAAGAGUUACACCAAGAGGUAGAGCCAGAGAGAGGUGUUCCAUUCCACUGGUUCACUCCUCAAGUGACUGCAAAGGCCAGAGCUGAGCUGAUCCAAAGCCAGGAGCCAGGAGCUUCCUCCAGGUCUCCCACGCAGGUGCAGGGGCCCAAGGACUUGGGCCAUCUUCCACUGCUUUCCCAGGCCAUAGCAGAGAGCUGGAUCAGAAGAGGAGCAGCUGGGUCUCAAACCAGCAUCCAUAUGGGAUGCUGGAGCUGCAGGCUGGGGCUUUAACCCACGGCACCACAGCGCCAGCACUGGCCAAGGGACUGAUUCUUGUCUUAACUGUUAGUAGAUUGGCUGAGUAAAUUCCUUAAGUUCCUCAGCCUCAAUUUGCUUAUAUAUAAUAUUGCAUUAUAUAUAUUAAAUUAUAAUAAAUAAUACAUUUAUUAACAAUAUUAACAAUUUAUAUAACA